rnacentral:rRNA from 1 species
UACACACCGCCCGUCACAUCAUGAAAGCCGGUUGUACCCGAAGUCGCCGUGUUAACCGCAAGGGGACAGGCGCCGAAGGUAUGGCUGGUGAUUGGGAUG